GAACAAAGAACAAAGUUCACUGCACACUGUUUAACUGAUUCUAACUCCUAACAGAGGAAAGAAAGUUUUGACAGGGUGUGUGAAACACACAGAAACAGAAUCGCUCUGAAAAAAGAGUUUCUGACGACACCUGGUGACGUAUCCAUUUAUAGCCUGGCCUCAGGUGCAUCUAAUGAUUACAUCAGCCGAGGCUAUAAAUUCCGGUCAAUGUUCAUUGACGUGUUUCACACAUUAUUUCAGCUCGGCUCACAGCGAAAGCUGUCCCCCGUAGCGCUUAGCAGCGCAAUAUCGUAGUGAAGCCUUUUGUAAAGGGAACUGACACGUCUUUUGAGUGAAUAUGUAGAACAAGCAGUGAAGCUGUCUUGACUUUAUAACAUCGAAAGUGGCUUCACCCAAAGCAAGACAAUUGAAAGAGCGGCAGAAUCCCUGAUAAAAGCCCACCGUAAGAAGGAAACUGAAAGUGUUAUAAAAUCAGGAAUAAAACUGAUUAAAGACACAAUUGAAGUGCUGGAAAAUGAUUCAGAUCCCGUCCAACCAUGCUAUUCUAGUGCUCUGCCUGGGCUCUCCGGUCCUCUGGCUACACCUUGUCUCUCCGAUCCUUCAGCUCCUCCAGGGACCUCCAUUCCUACAGCUUCGCCUUUGUCCUCAGCCCCAACGGCUCCGCCUCAGUCUUCUGAUCCCCCAGCUCCACCUUACUUCUCCGAAUCUCCGACGCUGCCUUGGUCCUCUCUGCCUCUCGCUCCACCCUGGCCCCUCUCAUGCUUCCACCCUGAGAAUGGACACAGCACAACAAAUGUAUGAAUGCACUCUCUGAACACUUUGAAGGAAGAUUUCUAGAUGAACUACUGGGAAAGAUAACCAGUGCGAUGUGUCCACAAGUUUCAGACCAUGAUUGCAAAACUUGUGCCGAAUUUAUGGAAACGGACGAAUGGAAGUUUUUUGAACCCUCUUUUGAAGACACAGAUAGGACAUUCAGGGCAUUGCUAAAAUCAGGGAGAUAUGAAUGCAGUAGGACUGGUCUCCGUAUUGAAUGCUCUAGUGAUGUUCAGCUGGAGUAUCUUACAUGUGACUGGGAACAAGUAAACUAUACUCCAGAAAUGGACCAGUUUACACCAUGUGGCCCCUUAAUGGAUCUCAAAGUCAUCUCAGGAGAGCUGAAGGAAGUCUAUCUACCUCACUCCCUGUGUUUAGGAAAAUCGUUGCAGAGAGAUGCAGUGAAAGUUCUUCAUGUUGAGGACAGUGGAGUUUAUUUUGAGGAAUGCUCAUUGACUCGAUUUCAUGCCAAGCUUCUGGACCUCAGCUUUUCACCUAAAGGACUUCUUUUGAGGAAAGGCUACACUGUGUUUUAUCAUUGUGAAACACUGAUAUAUCACACUUUGAAAUCUCAUCUAACCCUUCAUGUUUACCUGAUUCCAAGUGAUAAACAAAUGAAAGAGGCUGUUACAAAGAAAGAGGAACAGAUGAGAAGUAAAUUCAUCUUAAAACCAGAACCUCAAUGUAAGCUUCAGAUGAAUGGCCGGUUCACGCUGAAGGCACUGGAUCAGACAAAGACAUCAGAUUGUAAUUCGGACAUCACACCAAAGCAGCUACAACUUAAAUACAGUACUGCUAUGCCCCGUUUUUUUGAAGUAUUUAUUAAAGAUCCAAAAGAGGACUUUAGCCUCUAGCUGAUGGCACAACAAAAAUCAGUAUGGCAUGCCUGUAUACGCCAAGGUGAUUACCUUCAGAUGACCUCCACAGUGGGUACGGUGACUUUAAAAUGCAAAACUUUUCACAAUGGAUUAUACAGCUGCAUUUUAGCAAUAAAUAUUUUGAAUAUUAUUUAUGAAGAAUCAACAGUGGGGGGAAUUCACUAAGAAUUAAUUGAGUCCGGUAAAUGCACUAUUUAUUACCACAUGCUUUUUGCACUGGUUUUUUGCAUUCACUGAACUAAUUAUGCAGAUCAGCCAACAGCGCAAACACACCCACAAAAAGUGUGCAAAACACAAUUUUUCCAUGUUUGCGGGACGAUUGUGAGCGCUAAUAGUGGAGGAUGCCGCAGACCACCAUAUUUGAUACACUCUGCUGGAACUGUACAUCUUCACUGUGAUCCAGACACUUGGAUCAUCUCUUAAACAUGGCAAAAGUGCACUUGACUACACAGCACAUCUAGAUAUGUAGCAGCUCUUCUUCAUCAUUUGAUCAUUAUUUGAUGAAUUAUUCACAAACAAAAUAAACAUGUAAUAUGUAAGUAUUUGCGCUGAAAUGCUACAUACAAAAGUGGCACAACUGUUUAGUGAAUCAUCCCCGGUGUGUAUUUGGGUGUAUAUUCCACAUUUACAUAUACAGUCAAGUAUAAGCUCUUUUAUAAUCUAGAUCUUGUAUAAUGCUAUACAUUUUACUUUAGUUUGUGUUGAAUGUCUUGAAUGUUUUUGCAGAUGGAAGCAGAGAAACACAAAGCUCUUGUGCUGUAGGGAACAGAACUGUCAGUGAAAUUCUCCUGGAGCACUUGGAAGAAUUGGAAUCUGAGGAGAUGAAAACAUUUACAUGGCAUUUGAAACGAGGUGUAAAAGACUUCUCUAAAAUAUUUAAAUGUCGACUGGAGAAGAAAUCAAGGUGUGAAGUUGUGGAGUGCAUGAUUGAUCAUUAUCGUACAGUUGGUGCCGCUCAAGUCACUUCGGAUCAUCUUGGAAAAAAUGAAUAAGAACAAUCUGGCAAAACAAUUGCAGGAGGAGCUGGAGGUGAAAGCCCAGAGUGAACAGCAACCACGAUGACUGGAACCAAAACUGGAAAGGUGUCAGGCUGCAUUAGAUUAAUUUAGACACAUCAAUCAUUGCCAUAUCAGUUUUAUAGUUGAACCAAGGAAAACUCAGUAACUGAUUCUCGUAGAUGGAGAGAGAUGGAAGUUUUAAAGGUGUCAUGAAAUGGAAAAUACAGUUUUCCUUGAUAUUUAGAAAUAUAAGAAUUACUGUAAAACUCCCACCCCAGUCUAAAAACAGCAUUUAUAAUUCCCACUCUAUUGAAACUUCUCAUUUUUGAAACUGUGUUUGAGACAUCACAAGACAUUGCUCAGUUGUAUUUACACCCAGAACAUGUGUCAUCGUACCCUUGACCCCACCCACUGGGGUACGGUUCAUAUCGUAAACAGAGAGGGGGAGAGAGGCAGACCUAGCAUUACCAAAUAUUUCUGAACACAAAAGAGGACCCAUCUGGAUUAUGUUUUUGCUUAUAACAUGCAUAAGACAGCCGUCUUUACCAUUGUCAUGUUUAUCGUGCCACUUUUAAAAGAGGUACAAUUCGAAGCUCUGCCUCUUGCUGUACUGAACACAAACCACGCUUACUCCCAUCUGCACUAUUUUUAAUUGUUGGUGUAUGUUGGUGUUGGUGUAAACAUGGACUAGCUGGAUAAGUUUCUGGUGAUCUAGCCUCAGUGCACCUAUGUGUGUUUGUCUAUUCAUGCGUGCUAUGGACUAUGUUUAUGCGUGGACUGCGUUUUGGUGCUGAUGUACUUGACUGAACAGUAUAAUAUAUUUGGAUGCAAUUUGUUGAAUGUGUGUUAUUUCUAAACCCUGAUAUUUAGCUUUAUAAAGUUACAUUCAUAAAGAGCUUGUUCAUUCUCCUCUGACUGUGUUUAAAAUAUGACUGUGUAUUCGAGGGGCUGUACUGUGUCAGAACAGUUGGUGUUUACACUUAAGUUUAAAUGAGAUGCUGUGACCAAACCCAAGCUUUUUAGAGAGGGGCAAAAUUAUCAUUUAUUACUAAACUAUGACUGUUUUAGUCCUAAAACUUUUACUAACAUUAUCAGAGGACCUCAGGGAAGAUAAUUGAAUUAUACAAAGAAAAUUGCAUUUCAUGACCCCUUUAAAACACAUGUGCCAAGUUCAUAGAAAUGUUUGGAUUCAUUUGACAACAAACCAUAGAGGAAACCAUCAGUACAAAAGUAAUAAUAUAUUUUCCUUAUACCUUGAAUACAUCUGAUUGUGCACAUCUAAAUCAUUGUUCAAACAUAUUUUUGUAAAUAUUUCUUUACCUCCUGAGACCCAAGUGUGACUGCUGUGCACAUUUUACAUUUCCCAUUUUGAUUUGAACAUGCAAAAACCUAAAACAAUUCUAGAGCAAAUAGAUUUCCUAAAAUGUAUGUCCACAUAUGUGGACAGCGGGACUAAAUUGUGAAAUUUUAAAUAAUACCAAGCUACACAAUGAUUUUAUUUUUGAUCAAAUAGUUGAUUAUGUUUCCAGGAGUGAUGAUUAUUAAUGUUUUUGAGAUGUUAUAGGUAUUACUGCUGAUUUUCUUCUCUUCUUUUGAAUUAAUAACUCUUAUUCAAAGUAAUAUCCAGCAUCAUCCAAUCA